CUCUCCUAGUCUAUUUCACCCAUCCCCACCCCCACUUCCCCUCUGCUAACCAUCAGUUUGUUCUCUGUGGUUAAGUCUCUGUUUUUCUUUGUUUGUUGAAUUCCACGUACGAGUAAAAUCCUGUGGUAUUUGUCUUUCUCGGACUUCUUUCAUUUAGCAUAAUACACUCUAGUUCCAUCCAUGUUGCAAAUGGGAAGAUUUCAUUCUUGUUUAUGGCUCCAUAGUAUUCCAGUGUAUAUAUACCACUCCUUUAUCCAUUCAUCAGUCGACGGACAUUAGGGAGGCUUCUGUAAUUUGGCCAUUGUAGAUCACGCCGCAAUAAACACAGGGGUGCCUCUAUCUUUCCGAAUUAGCGUUUUCUUAUUCUUGGGGUAAAUACCCAGAAGUGGAAUUACUGGAUCAUAGGGUAGUUCUAUUUUUAAUUUUUUGAGGAACCUCCAUACUGUUUUCCACUGCGGCCGCACCGGUUAGCAUUCCCGCCACAGGGCACCAGGGUUCCCCUUUCUCCACUUCCUCACCAACACCUGUUGUUUCUUGUGUUUUUAAUUUCAGCCAAGAAAGCCCAGAAUUUAUCUUACAGCUACAAGCAAGGUGGCUGGCUGCCCUCAACACUUCCCUAAAGGGGGAAGGAAGUGACUAUGGAAAUGGCGGAGCCAAGCAAAACCAUGGAGGGCAGACCUUCCGUCACUGGUCACCAUUGAGGCAAAAGCCCUGCGCGGCCUGAGCCCCGGCCCUGCCCAAACAGGGGUUGUGGAUUUUGUGGAAGAAUACCAUGGAAGUAAAGUGCCAUUCUCUUGACAUCAUACCAGAGGGACACGCUAUCAACAGGGAUGAUAUUAGUCCCAAUCACUAGACAAGGCAGUGUUUAUCGAGCCUCACCACCAUAAAGUUCUUUCUUUACUCCUUUCCAUGUUCUAUUCUUUGGAACCCAUUCACUAAGUACAGCCUACUUUUGCCUGUUUGUUUUUUAAAUAGCAUUGUUUGUCUUACUGAGUUUUAGAAGUUUUUGUGUAUCCUAAAUAAAAGUUAUUUAUUAGAUAUACAA